GACGAACGCUGGCGGCGUGCCUAAUACAUGCAAGUAGAACGCUGAAGAGAGGAGCUUGCUCUUCUUGGAUGAGUUGCGAACGGGUGAGUAACGCGUAGGUAACCUGCCUUGUAGCGGGGGAUAACUAUUGGAAUCGAUAGCUAAUACCGCAUAACAAUAGGUGACACAUGUCAUUUAUUUGAAAGGGGCAAUUGCUCCACUACAAGAUGGACCUGCGUUGUAUUAGCUAGUAGGUGAGGUAACGGCUCACCUAGGCGACGAUACAUAGCCGACCUGAGAGGGUGAUCGGCCACACUGGGACUGAGACACGGCCCAGACUCCUACGGGAGGCAGCAGUAGGGAAUCUUCGGCAAUGGGGGCAACCCUGACCGAGCAACGCCGCGUGAGUGAAGAAGGUUUUCGGAUCGUAAAGCUCUGUUGUAAGUCAAGAACGAGUGUGAGAGUGGAAAGUUCACACUGUGACGGUAGCUUACCAGAAAGGGACGGCUAACUACGUGCCAG
rnacentral:rRNA from 1 species